AGAGUUUGAUCCUGGCUCAGGAUGAACGCUGGCGGCGUGCUUAACACAUGCAAGUCGAACGAUUAACCCGCCCUCGGGCGGUUAUAGAGUGGCGAACGGGUGAGUAACACGUGACCAACCUGCCCCCUUCACCGGGAUAACCCAGGGAAACCUGCGCUAAUACCGGAUACUCCGGGACCCCCGCAUGGGGCUCCCGGGAAAGCCCAGGCGGAAGGGGAUGGGGUCGCGGCCCAUUAGGUAGACGGCGGGGUAACGGCCCACCGUGCCCGCGAUGGGUAGCCGGGUUGAGAGACCGAUCGGCCACAUUGGGACUGAGAUACGGCCCAGACUCCUACGGGAGGCAGCAGUGGGGAAUUUUGCGCAAUGGGGGAAACUCUGACGCAGCAACGCCGCGUGCGGGACGACGGCCUUCGGGUUGUAAACCGCUUUCAGCAGGGAAUAAUUUUGAAGGUACCUGCAGAAGAAGCUCCGGCUAACUACGUGCCAGCAGCCGCGGUAAUACGUAGGGAGCGAGCGUUAUCCGGAAUCAUUGGGCGUAAAGCGCGCGUAGGCGGCCCGUCAAGCGGGGUUUCAAAUCCAGGGGCUCAACCUCUGGCCGGACCCCGAACUGGCGGGCUCGAGUGCGGUAGAGGAAGGUGGAAUUCCCAGUGUAGCGGUGAAAUGCGCAGAUAUUGGGAAGAACACCGAUGGCGAAGGCAGCCUUCUGGGCCGCCACUGACGCUGAGGCGCGAAAGCUAGGGGAGCGAACAGGAUUAGAUACCCUGGUAGUCCUAGCCGUAAACGAUGGGCACUAGGUGUGGGGGGACAUUCCCUCCGUGCCGCAGCAAACGCAUUAAGUGCCCCGCCUGGGGAGUACGGCCGCAAGGCUAAAACUCAAAGGAAUUGACGGGGGCCCGCACAAGCAGUGGAGCAUGUGGUUUAAUUCGAAGCAACGCGAAGAACCUUACCAAGUCUUGACAUCCCGAUGACAGAACAUGUAAUGUGUUUUCUCUUCGGAGCAUCGGUGACAGGUGGUGCAUGGUUGUCGUCAGCUCGUGUCGUGAGAUGUUGGGUUAAGUCCCGCAACGAGCGCAACCCCUAUUCUUAGUAGCCAGCGGGUAAGCCGGGCACUCUAGGGAGACUGCCAGGGAUAACCUGGAGGAAGGUGGGGAUGACGUCAAAUCAUCAUGCCCCUUAUGACUUGGGCUACACACGUGCUACAAUGGCGUAAACAAAGGGAAGCGAGCCUGCGAGGGGGAGCAAAUCUCAAAAAUAACGUCUCAGUUCGGACUGCAGUCUGCAACUCGACUGCACGAAGCUGGAAUCGCUAGUAAUCGCGAAUCAGAAUGUCGCGGUGAAUACGUUCCCGGGUCUUGUACACACCGCCCGUCACACCAUGGGAGUUGGUAAUGCCCGAAGUCAGUGACCCAACCGCAAGGAGGGAGCUGCCGAAGGCAGGAUCGAUAACUGGGGUGAAGUCGUAACAAGGUA
rnacentral:rRNA from 1 species